UACGAAGGGGGCUAGCGUUGUUCGGAAUCACUGGGCGUAAAGCGCACGUAGGCGGAUUGUUAAGUCGGGGGUGAAAUCCUGAGGCUCAACCUCAGAACUGCCUUCGAUACUGGCAAUCUCGAGUCCGGAAGAGGUUGGUGGAACAGCUAGUGUAGAGGUGAAAUUCGUAGAUAUUGGGAAGAACACCGGUGGCGAAGGCGGCUAUCUGGACCGACAUUGACGCUGAGGCGCGAAAGCGUGGGGAGCAAACAGG
rnacentral:rRNA from 1 species